GAGAGGUGCUGCAUGGCUGUCGUCAGCUCGUGUUGUGAAAUGUUGGGUUAAGUCUCGCAACGAGCGCAACCCCUAUCGUCUGUUGCCAGCAUUAAGUUGGGCACUCUGACGAGACUGCCUGGGUUAACCAGGAGGAAGGUGGGGAUGACGUCAAGUCCUCAUGGCCCUUAUGUCUAGGGCUACACACGUAAUACAAUGGCACGUACAGAGGGAAGCGAACUCGCAAGAGGGAGCAAAUCUCAAAAAGCGUGCCUCAGUUCGGAUUGGAGUCUGCAACUCGACUCCAUGAAGUUGGAAUCGCUAGUA
rnacentral:rRNA from 1 species